GGAACCCACGACGUCCCGUUAAACCCCGGAGCGCCAUAUCCACAGAGAUACCAAGGCAGCUGUCGACUCCAUGAUUACGAUGCGAAGUUUCAAUUUCUCGAGUUGCUAGGAGCAAUGUUAUAAAACUAACGCGCAGGACGGAUUACUUCGUGCAACACUGGGCUGUUGACA